GGGGAGCUAGUUUAAUUAAAACGUUAGUUUGUGGUGCUGGUGAUGUGAAGUUAUUCACGCUCGCCUC
rnacentral:tRNA from 1 species